CCUACGGGAGGCUGCAGUGAGGAAUAUUGGUCAAUGGACGCAAGUCUGAACCAGCCAUGCCGCGUGCAGGAAGAAGGCUCUAUGAGUUGUAAACUGCUUUUGUACGAGGGUAAAUGCAGAUACGUGGAUCUGACUGAAAGUAUCGGACGAAUAAGGAUCGGCUAACUCCGUGCCAGCAGCCGCGGGAAUAAGGAGGAUUCAAGCGUUAUCCGGAUUUAUUGGGUUUAAAGGGUGCGUAGGCGGUCGGGUAAGUUAGAGGUGAAAUCCCGAGGCUCAACUUCGGAAUUGCCUCUGAUACUGUUCGGCUAGAGAGUAGUUGCGGUAGGCGGAAUGUAUGGUGUAGCGGUGAAAUGCUUAGAGAUCAUACAGAACACCGAUUGCGAAGGCAGCUUACCAGGCUACUUCUGACGUUGAGGCACGAAAGCGUGGGGAGCAAACAGGAUUAGAUACCCUAGUAGUC
rnacentral:rRNA from 1 species